CAACACGCAGCAAAAGGGCGUCUGGGGGAUGCCUAAGGCUUCUGGUGGCGAUGAAGGACGUGGCAAGCGACGAAACGCUGUGGGGACCCGCUGGCAGGGGCUGAUCCACAGGUGUCCGAAUGGGGCAACCCAUCAUGUUGAAGACAUGAUACCUUUCGAGGGGCAAACGCGGUGAACUGAAACAUCUAAGUAGCCGCAGGAAGAGAAAACAAGUCAGUGAUUCCGUCAGUAGUGGCGAGCGAACGCGGAACAGCCCAAACCAAUCAUGUUACGGCAUGAUCGGGGUAGUAGGACCCGACAUCAAGCUAACAAACGAACCGAAAGCACUUGGGAAAGUGCACCGCAGAGGGUGAGAGUCCCGUACGGGUCAGGGCGUUAGUGGGUUGGGGAUCCUGAGUAGGGGGGAACCGGAGAAAUUCCCUCUGAAUCGGCCGGCACCAUCCGGUAAGGCUAAAUACGACCAGAAGACCGAUAGCGCAGAGUACCGUGAGGGAAAGGUGAAAAGUACGGGGAGUACCCGGGUGAAAUAGAACCUGAAACCAGGCGCCUACAAGCGGUUGGAGCCCUCCUGGAGGGGGUGACAGCGUGCCUUUUGCAUAAUGAGCCUACGAGUAACCGUCACUGGCGAGGUUAAGAGUGUAGACACUCGCAGCCGAAGCGAAAGCGAGUCUGAACAGGGCGUCUAGUCAGUGGGGGUUGACGCGAAACUUGGUGAUCUACCCGUGGUCAGGUUGAAGGGGUGGUAACACACCGUGGAGGACCGAACCGAUAAGCGUUGAAAAGCUUCCGGAUGAACUGCGGGUAGGGGUGAAAGGCCAAUCAAACUGAGAAAUAGCUCGUACUCUCCGAAAUGUUUUUAGGAACAGCGUUCAGUGUUACCACCGGUGAGGUAGAGCGACCAACAGGAUGCGGGGGAGUCACAUCCUACCAACUUCUGAUGAACUCCGAAUGCGCCGGUGGGUGCUGGGCAGUGAGGGCCUGGGUGCUAAGGUCCAGGUCCGAGAGGGGAACAACCCAGACCAUCCGCUAAGGUCCCCAAGUGUGUGCUAAGUUGAACAAAGGCGGUCCGGCUGCUGGGACAGCCAGGAGGUUGGCUUGGAAGCAGCCAUUCCUUUAAAGAGUGCGUAACAGCUCACUGGUCGAGCGGGGCGGGCGUCGAUAAUAAACGGGCAUCAAGCACAUCACCGAAGCGAUGGACACAUACUUUGAGUAUGUUGUGGUAGGAGAGCAUUCACAGGUCGGUGAAGGAUAGGCGUGAGCCUUACUGGAGAGCUGUGAAAAGCAAAUGUAGGCAUAAGUAACGAGAAUGGGGAUGAGAACUCCCCACACCGAAAAGCUAAGGUUUCCUCCGCGAUGGCAGUCAUCGGAGGGUUAGUCGGGGUCUAAGGAGCAGGCGAAGGCCGGGCUUUGAGGGGAAAAUGGUUAAUAGUCCAUUACUAUCUAUGCAGGCUGACUCAUGACGGAGCGCCGGGGGUUCUGGGUCCGGACGGAAGUGGGCGCUGAGACAAGGCUUCGGCUGCGUCGAAGAACUGAAGGGGCUUCCAAGAAAAGUGAGAAGGCGUUAAGCGUAUGGAUACCCGUACCGUAAACCGACACAGGUAGCUGGGAUGAAGAUUCUAAGGUGCGCGAAAGAAUCAUGGUUAAGGAACUCGGCAAAUUGACCCUGUAACUUCGGGAGAAGGGGGGCCUACUCAGUGAUGGGAGGCUGCAGAGCAAAGGCCCAGGCGACUGUUUACCAAAAACACAGGACUCUGCCAAAAUGAAAGUUGACGCAUAGGGUCUGACACCUGCCCGGUGCUGGAAGGUUAAGGGGGGAUGUUACCCGCAAGGGAAAGCAUUGAACUGAAGCCCCAGUAAACGGCGGCCGUAACUAUAACGGUCCUAAGGUAGCGAAAUUCCUUGUCGGGUAAGUUCCGACCUGCACGAAUGGUGUAACGAUCUGGGCACUGUCUCAACCAUGAGUUCGGUGAAAUUGUAGUAGCGGUGAAGAUGCCGCUUACCCGCCACGGGACGAAAAGACCCCGUGCACCUUUACUACAGCUUAACAUGGAUCGCCGGUCAGGCAUGUGUAGGAUAGGCGGGAGAUUGCGAAGCGGUGUCGCCAGGCAUCGUGGAAUCAACCUUGAAAUACCGCCCUUGGCUGACUGGCGGUCUAACCGCGAGAGUGGGACCGUGUUUGGUGGGUAGUUUGACUGGGGUGGUCACCUCCGAAAGGGUAACGGAGGUUUCCCAAGGUCCGCUCAUGCCGGACGGUAAUCGGCAGGGGAGUGCAAUAGCAGAAGCGGGCUUGACAGUGAGGCACACAGGCCGAUCUGGUGCGAAAGCAGGGUAUAGUGAUCCGGUGGUUCCGCAUGGAAGGGCCAUCGCUCAAAGGAUAAAAGGUACGCCGGGGAUAACAGGCUGAUCUCCCCCAAGAGCUCACAUCGACGGGGAGGUUUGGCACCUCGAUGUCGGCUCGUCACAUCCUGGGGCUGGAGAAGGUUCCAAGGGUUCGGCUGUUCGCCGAUUAAAGUGGCACGCGAGCUGGGUUCAGAACGUCGUGAGACAGUUCGGUCUCUAUCUGUGGUGGGCGUGGGAACACUGAGGGGGUCUGUCCUUAGUACGAGAGGACCGGGAUGGACGCACCGCUGGCGGAUCAGUUAUCAUGCCGAUGGUAUGGCUGAGUAGCUACGUGCGGUACAGAUAAGCGCUGAAAGCAUCUAAGUGCGAAACUGGCCCCAAGAUGAGUGUUCCGGUAUAAAGGGCCGUUGGAGACGACGACGUUGAUAGGUGGCAGGUGGAGGUGUGGAGACACAUAGAGCCGAGCCAUACUAAUGUGCCCGGACGCGAGUUGUC
rnacentral:rRNA from 1 species